rnacentral:rRNA from 1 species
GACGGAGGAUGCAAGCGUUAUCCGGAAUGAUUGGGCGUAAAGCGUCCGCAGGUGGCAGUUCAAGUCUGCUGUCAAAGACCGGGGCUUAACUUCGGAAAGGCAGUGGAAACUGAACAGCUAGAGUAUGGUAGGGGCAGAGGGAAUUCCUGGUGUAGCGGUGAAAUGCGUAGAGAUUAGGAAGAACAUCGGUGGCGAAGGCGCUCUGCUGGACCAUAACUGACACUCAGGGACGAAAGCUAGGGGAGCGAAUGGG